rnacentral:piRNA from 1 species
UAGUGGCCAAACGAAUCGUUGUGCAAC